rnacentral:tRNA from 1 species
GGGCGCGUGGCCUAGCCUGGAUAGGGCGCUGGCCUUCUAAGCCAGUAGUCGCGGGUUCGAAUCCCGUCGCGCCCG